CCAGGGUCUAUCAUUUUACUUUCUAAAAUUGCAUACAUACAGAAAAGCUGAAAGAACACAAUGAAUACCUUCCACUUGUAUUCAACAGUUGUUAAUAGUUUGCCACAUUCUCUCUUCAAUAUAUAAUUAUAAUAUCUCAACAAUAUAUACAUUUCUUUUGCUACACCAUCUUGAAAGUAAGUGGCAAACAUGACCUUUUGAGAUAAAUAUAUCAUCAUGUAUCUCCUGAGAAAAAAGACCUCCUCCUACAUAACCAUAGAACAAUUAUGAUACUUGGAAAAUUAACAAUUCCAACAUCACCCAGUAGUCCAUAUUCAAAUUUCCUUAAUUGUCCCCAAAACAUCUUUUAUGGUUGUUAGAUUACUUGAUUUCAUAUGUGUUCCAACAUCAGCUCUAUUUCUACCAAGUUAAUUUGCUCCAUGCCCUCCAGAGAGCUCUUGUUCCUACUGUCUCCGCACAUUUAUUUCCUCAUUUCCUCUUACCCUUCCUCAAAUAGGUAUUAGGCAACUCCUACGUGUCAGCCUGGGGAUACAGAGAUGAAAACAAGGUCCCCUCCCUUCCAGAUACUCAGUCUAAUGCAGCAGAUAAAGGUGUAGACAAAUAACUACCACUGUAUAGAGUGCUACAGUGCUACCACCGAGGGUGUGAAGUGCCUGAGGCCCUAGGAAAAUACUUAAUGCCUUCUAAGGGCUUCUCUGCCCAUCCUGCCCACCUCGCAUUAUAAGCCUCUCCCCCAGGAAGCCAUUCUGCACUAAUGCCAAUUGCUCUAGAUUUCACUCUGGGCCUCUGCAGGAUCCAUGCUCUCCCUAAGGACCCUCAGUCAUUUGAUGUGUCUCUCCACAUAGACCACAAGGGUCCCCAAAAUGUGCAUUAUGUAUUAGAUUUUUUCGUAUUUCCUUAGCCUGGGACUUGAUAUAUGCUGGACGCUCGAUAAAUCUUGUUGAUAGAGACCGUCUUCUGAUGCCUCUGAAUGGAAUACCAGUCUGAAGGCUAAAUGCCAUCAGCAGUUUUAACACUGACAGCACAGUCUGCUAGAAUACCAAUUUACCACAAAAAUAAAUACAUCCCCUGGAGGCCUGCUUGGUGAAAUUAAUCAAUGGCUUGGAGAAUUUGAAACACAUACAAAUUCCAAGUAAUAAGCUGGUGAUCUUCAAGUCUGCAAUGAACUGGGGAUGUCUCACCUCCCCAGCUCUCCAUCCAGGACCAUCUGGGCUCCCUCCCCUCUUCUGUCCUGUACUCUGUGCAGGCACAUCAUUUUUCUAGCACCACUUGCCCCUCCUCCCACGCCCUCCCCAGGAGUGGGGAAAGGGGAGGUUUGGAACAUCCUUUCUCUCUCAUACCCAUCAACCACAGCCUUGCUUUCCAGCUCUUCCAAACAUUACCUCUUCAAGACCUCCUCUGCGGAUCCCACCCAGAACCAGACUCACAGGAGAUUCACGGCACAGACACCAGACCCUCACUGACAUCCACCCACUCUUUUUUUCCGGGCAGGUUCUCCUUCCUCUGUGCCGAGGCCUGUUCCACUCAGGCUACUGAGCCAGGAGGCAGGCUUGGUGGGCUAGACACAGUCAGCAUUUAAUAACAAAGGUGUAAUAAUAAUACAAACAAAUAUACUAUUAAGAUGAACCUAACGGUUGGAGUUUGCCAAGCCAUCCUGUGACUGCAAAUCCCUUUUCAAUUAAUCUUCAUCAGUUACCAAAUGAGGGUAGACUAGAAUGAUCUCUAGAUAUAGAGAUAUAGAGAUCCUGGGCAUCUCUAUGCUUCCGUGAGUCUGUGAAUGUUGCCUAAGGAGAAUAAAUGUGAGCUCCUUAGGCUAUGAGAAUAAUAAGAGGGAGAGUAUGGGCUCUUUGAUAUCAGAAUAAGACAGAAUACAGGCUGGGCACGGAGGCUCAUGCCUGUAAUCCCAGCAAUUUGGAAGGCUGAGGUGGGAGGAUCACCUGAGGUCAGGAGUUCAAGACCAACCUGGCCAACAUGGUGAAACCCAGUCUCUACAAAAAUACAAAAAUUACCCGGGCAUGAUGGCAGGUGCCUGUAAUCCCAGCUAUUCAGGAGGUUGAGGCAGGAGAAUCACUUGAACCCUGGAGGCAGAGGUUGCAGUGAGCCGAGGUUGUGCCAUUGCACUCCAGCCUGGGCAACAGAGCAAGACUCCGUCUCAAAAAAAAAUAAUAAUAAUAAUAAUAAGACAGAAAAGAAAGAGAAGAGGAAGCGAAACGCUGAAAGGCUAUCAGUUAGCUGGGCUGGGUGCAGUGGCUCACGCCUGUAAUCCCAGCACUUUGGGAGGCUAAGGUGGGUGGAUCACCCGAGUUCAGGAGUUCAAGACCAGCCUGGCCAACAUGGUGAAAACCCGUCUCUACUAAAAAUAGCCGGGAGUGGUGGCACACACCUGUAGUCCCACCUACUCGGGAGGCUGAGGUAGAAGAAUCCUUGAACCUGGGGGACGGAGGUUGCAGCGAGUCAAGGUCGCACCACUGCACUCCAGACUGGGCAGAGCAAGACUCCGUCUCAAAAAAAAAAAAAAGGCCAGGCACGGUGGCUCAUGCCUGUAAUCCCAAUACUUUGUAAGGCCGAGGAGGGUGGGUCACUGGAGGUUGCGGUGAGCCAAGAUCGCGCCACUGCAUUCCAGCCUGGGCAAUAAGAGCGAAACUCCAUCUCAAAAAAAAAAAAAAAAGCUAUCAGGACUAGAGGAAGAGCGAAAAGUGAAAGGGCGGCCAGGAGCAGAGGCUCACGCCUAUAAGCCCAGCACUGUGGGAGCCCAAGGCAGGUGGAUCACUUGAGGUCAGGAGUUCAAGACCAGCCUGACCAAUAUGAUGAAAUCCCAUCUCUACUAAAAACACAAAAAUUAGCUGGGCAUGGUGGCAUGCGCCUGUAAUCCCAGCUACUCAGGAGGCUGAGACAGGAAAAUCGUUUGAACCUAGGAGGCAGAGGUUGCAAUAAGCCGAGAUCUCGCCACUGCACUCCAGCCUGGGCAACAGAGCCAGACAGUCUCAUAAAAAAAAAAAAGGAAAAAAAGAAAAGAAUGUACGGGGGAAGGCACAGGCUUGAACUCAUACUGGGUGCCCUACCAGUGAAGUCGGCUUAUCUCUAAAGCAUCCUUUUAAUCUCUCUAAUGGAAGGAUUAUGUGUCCGAAACUUACCCCAAACCCACUUUCCAGUGUUUAGGGAACAUCUGGCCUGAUGUAGGCUUUCAAUUCAGAUGAGAGAUUCACAGCCAACUUUCUGGGGGCCCUGGGGUUACGGGGCUAGGAAGGCAGGCAUGACUGUAAGGUCUGAGGAGAAAACUAAGGGACGGAGUUGAGGAAAAAGAAAUAGGUCCUUUAUAGUCCUGGCUCGCUGGUAGCUCCCUCUCUCUCUCUCUCUGUAGUUCCUCAACGCCUAUGUCUUUGGGACUCACCUUUUCUCCAAAGUCCUAAAAUCUUCUUUCAAGUUCCCCAUAGGCUCUAUUGUUCCCCCAAAGGGCUCCUCAGAUCCAGAUCCUCCUCCUCACACACACCCACAGUCUCCCAUUUAAUCAUCUGUAUUCUCAAAACAUUUAUUGAGUGCCUACCAGACACUGUGUGAAUACGUAUCUAAGACAAAAAUUCCUGCCUUCGAGGAGUUGUUAGUGGGUGCAACAGACAACUACACAGAUUGGGUUGCAGUGAGGGCAAAAGGGGAAAGUCUUAGGUUUUUUUCCCCCAAGAUGAGUCAUCUGGAGCUUUUCAGUUCCUCAAACUCGUUCUUAGCUUCUCAGCCGGCAGGCCUCUGCCUCUGUAGUUUCCUGAGUGGGCCCCUCUCUUUCCACUUCUCUUCAUCCGGCUAACUCCUAAUGCCUCUUCGUGCUUCCUGUAUGAAGCCCUCUUUGACUCCCCUCUGCACACAGCCUUCGCCCA
rnacentral:lncRNA from 1 species